rnacentral:tRNA from 1 species
CUUUUUAUAUUUUAAUUAAAAUUAAAGCUUUGGGAGUUUUAGAUUCUGUGAAUUGCAGAUAAAGAGA